CUUUGCUGAAGAGAUGAAAAUCAGGGUUCCAGCCUACGAACUACGCUUAUAUGCACUCUAGCCACGCCCAUUUUGGCGGGCUUUGAUGCAGUAAGCGCGCGGACGCCUCUCAUUGGACGCAAGUUCACCCAAGUUCGUCUAUAGGCUGCAGCAGUUGCCGCAGAGCAACCAAUGAGCUCGCUAGCUAGCCCGCUCAAGGUCUGCAAUUGCUGCACUGCGUUGACAAAUUAUACAAAAUUAAGGAUAAUUUUUUGGCUUCAAUAUCUCAGAAAAGAUUAAUCUUUCCCGUAGCGUAAGCUAGCUUAUGCAAUCCGAGAGAACCUCUCGUAAGAGAACUCCUAUUCACUUGCAUUUUAUGGGUGUAUUCACAUCAUACAUCCAUCAAAAUAUAAGUCACAUGACUUAAAAGCAGUAAUGUUUAGAUAGUUCGGCAAAGUUCUGAUAUUCUGAUACUUCUACAAAGAUUUUAUGAUGCUCAGUGUUAUGUGUAUUGUUUUUAAUCUAUCAAUAUUUUGCUUCACAGGUGCCAAAGGCUCCAUCCAAGUCUUCUCUGUCUGGUUCUGCCAAAUGUUGCAGUGAUGCUAAUUAUGUGGAGUUAGCACAUGGCACAGGUAUAAAAUGGCCUCCUUCCCACUGGAGAUUCUGAUCCACAGCAAUUUGAAAGGAGGAAUGAGUAAAACUGAAUGAGUAAAACUGACUGUGGUGCAGAGAGAAGGAAUGCCCUUGACAAGGACACACACCAUGGCAGCAAUAUAUGUGGCAGUGAAGAAGUUUCCCAAUGUGUCCAGAGGAGCUUUGGGGUUUGCAGUGAAUUCUAAGAUGGGGGAACUGAGAUGGCUUGA